UGCAAGUCCAGCACAGCGUCCGCGAUAACUGUCAGUCCCUUUAUUAUUAAUAUAAUUUUCUUUGCCUUAUUUUAAUAUAUAUUAACCCUUAAUUAACAACUGAGUUUGCAUUUGCCAAAUGUAGCACAAUGCCUCUAAAGCACAGAUUAAAGAAACAGCAAGAAGGGAACUACAGCAGGCAGCCCAGGAGGAGAUCAGGGGUUUCUCAUCAAAUCAUCGCUCCACCGACCUGCUGGGCCAAAAAAAAGGGACGCAUCAAUUUUACUUCCACAUCAGUUCACGUGGAUGGGAAUCCAUUUACAUAAUAAGCAAAACGAGGCCAUGUAAAGCUGGUGAAGCUGUUUAAGGACACAGCCUCCAUCGCAGUCCAGAGACAUCAUCAAACGGUGGCAAUGCUGUGAGAAGAUUUGUACAUUUGUGGUUGUGAUUUCUUAAGCAUCCACUUCCUGUUCUUCUGUUAGUCAGAAAUGGUCUGACUACAUUUUUUAAGGCGCAACAUGCCUUGUGACUCUAUGAGGAAGUAAUGUUUUAUAGAAAAGGAUAAAACAGAUUUUGGAAUAGAGCACUGCUUUUUAAAUUAUAUUUUAAUUGCCCCAAAGUGGCUGUAAUUUAGAUUAAAAAAAAAAAUAAAAAUCAAAUGGCAAUGUAAAAACAAUGACUAUGAAGGGGGGGUGUCACUGACAGCGAUUUCUGGUUCCCGCCCACGAUUCUCUUUCUGGGCAACUACAGCUAUUUUCAGUUAAAAAAUAAAAUCUCUAAAAACCUACAGUAGACCAACUGCUCAUCACCAAAGAGCUGACAGAUGUGUUAAGGGGCCAGUUGCUGAACAUUUGUAAAGCAUUUCGCUGAAGUACCAGAGAUUUCCCUCAGGAGUUGACUGAAACCAAAUUCAAUGAGCAAAAAUGUUAAUAUUUAAAUUACUGUACAAGCAGGAGGCACCUAAUGAAUAAUUAUGAAGCUCUUAAAGUAUCAGACAGAUAAAUAAGGAACUUUUUGACAGCUAGGUUUCAAACAGUUCCUUUGUACAAACUGAAAGUCUGCCUGUACAUUGAAAGCAAAACAAAUUUUAAUAAUGCCAAUUAAGGCUUUUAGCGCCAGGCAAAUUCCUGUAUUUGUUUCAGAGUUUUGAGAAAGAAUUGUGCAUCAAAAGCACAAGUCUUUUUGAAAGCCUAUGUUCGACACCGCAGACUUAAGGCGAUAAUGUAAAUCUUUGCUUUUGAAAUGCAUGUUUGGGGAUUUGAUCAAAAGAAGACCGUGCCAAACAGAAGAAAACAACCAAAGACACAAGUUGUAAUCUGAAGCUCCUUCCUCCUUCCAGAGGUGCAUUUGGCUGCAUUUAUUUUGUAGUGAAACUCUAAUGUGUCCCUACAAGGAAGCAAAGGGAAAAAUAUGUCAUGAAUGCAGGAUGUGGGCGUCCUUUUUUUAAUCUUGCCCUUUGCUCUUUUGCAAGUCGCUGUUGACUUUGUGCUCCAUUGGAACAGCCAUGGCAUAAAUAUUAGUUCUUUAAUCAUUUGUCUGCUAGCUCUUGCUAAACAAAUGUGUCACAUGACUGGCACAAAGACCAAUAAUAACUGGCCCUUAAACCUUCUAGAUGAAAUGGCCCUGAAGUAAGAAAAUCUCAGCGCAGUGGUGAGCUGAACACACAUGACAGGCAUGACUGGAAGCAAAGCUAAAAAGCAAAGUCCUGUGAUUUUCCACUUGUGUUCCAAUUGGCUUUUUUUUGUUAAGUGUAAACAAGGUAUUUGUUUCUGUUGGUCUUAAUGCCCCAUCCACCACCCCCCAGUUCUUGCAUCUCUGAGACUGAAAAGGCAUCAUUAGACCCAUCAGUGAACAGCUUUGUUAUGCCCAUGCUUCAUUGGCAAGGUUUUCCAACAUCACCAUAACAGCUUUUAUGACAUGUGACCAUUAUGCACCCUGUGGCUAUUUAAGAUAAGAUAAGAUAAGAUAAGAUAACCUUUAUUAGUCCCACACGUGGGA